CCAUCGAGGAGGUGGCUCCGGUGGUUGC
rnacentral:sRNA from 1 species